UUGAUGGCUAUUUUAUACGGUAGGGUGGGGGAACUAUUGGGUUAUAAUGAUCUCGUCUCUCUUUUCUCACAUCUGACAAAAGAGAGAAGAGCACAAAAAACCUUGAAUUUUCUUCUUCUUUUUUAUUUAUUUAUAUCUAGCUUUUCUUACAACCCAACAGCAAUGAUGAAGUCCGCUUUCUCUCCAUCUUCUCCAUCGCCAUCAUUGUUCCCACACCACCUCACCUGCCUUUAUGAUCAUUACCUUCUACACAUUCUUCAAAGCUCGUCAUCAUUUCAUCAACCCAAAAAGAAGAAGAAGAAGAAGAAGAAGAAAGAAAGAAUAAAUCAGAAGGAGCGAAAGUGAUGUUUUCAAGUGGGGGAUUGAGAAGAAACUUAUAGCAAAAAGAAAGGACCUUUCAAGUUUCAAGCUCUAGGCUUUUUCUUCUUUUCAUCUUUGUUUCUUCCUUGGUUUUGAGUGAAUGGGUCUUUUCUUUUUUUCUCCUGUUUCUUCUAGAUUUUCCCAGUCUUCUUUUUUUUUGGGAGGUGGGCGGGGGAAUCAAGCAUCUUGGUCCGAAACUAUUUGCUUCCAUCAGAGCAAAAUCAGUACUUGCUAGCUUUUUUUGGUUUUGUAUGGUUUUAUUGUUAGGUUAUUGAAAAGCUUGUUUGUGUUCACUAUGUUCUGUAAGAGAUCUCUUUCUUCUCUUGAUCCUAUUUCCAUAUAUGAUCUUCUCUUUCACAUACACUUUCUGCAAUUCCUCCAAGCUGAUCUAAAGUUUCAUCAGCCAUAUAUUUAUGUGUAUGAUUUUUGUAUGCCUUUUUAUCAACAGAUCUACCAUGUCUAUCAUAAAUGAAACCGUAGUAUUUUGUUUGUUUUAGGGUUUUUUUUUUACAGUUGAAGCCUGUCUCCUUCCAAAAGUUUUCCCACAGAACAUCAUGAUUCCUGAGCUUGCUAUAAAUAAUAAUUGGACAAAAACAAUAUGCUAUCAGAUGAGUCUUCCUUUUAAACAAUAUUUCAUUUUCUUUCUGUCUCCAAAGUAAAACACAUAUAGGAGAAGAAGUACUCUUGGAUAAUAUAUACAUAUAUAAAGCAAUCUUUUGGUAUUAGCUUCUUAUUUCUUCUUAUUUCAUCUUUGGUUUUUGAGGAUCCAGAUGAAUAAUCUAUAUAUAUAUAUAUAUAUAUAUUCUUAUCCAAGUAGAAACCUAGGACUUCGAUUGAGCUUAUUGGAAGGCAACAAAAACACUUGGCAAAAUGUCCCUGCAUUUGUUAAAUAAGAUUUCUUUUAAUUUAAGUAAGCUUUUGUUACUACUAUGGGAGCUAGUUUCCUUCAGCUAUACAUACAUACAUAGCGUUCUUUGAGUUGAUUAUGUAGGAUGAUUUAUUUUUAUCCCUUGUAUGUUUUUUGAUCUCUUCUCCAUCAAAGAGGGUGUAAAGUAGAUGAAGAGAAAGCUAGAUCCCUAAAGCAGUAUAAUGGGGUGGCUAAUCAUACUUUUGAAGAGAGAGCAGUGGAGAGAGGCCAUGCAUGUAUGUUCUUCCUUUAUAUUCUUUGUAAGAUAAAUAUGAAAGAAGAGUGGGACCAAUAUAAAACAGAAGGGCAUGGGCUUGGGCCGAGCAUGAGAAAAAGGAUGAUUAAAAGGUGAAUAAUCGCAGUGUGGCAAGUAGCUAUAGAUUGUGACAUAUCAGUUCACUACUUCAACCAUAUUCCUUCUUUUUUAUUCUUAACUUUAGUUCAAUGGUGGCAAUCGACAACUUCAAAACAUUGAAUGAAAAGGAAUGUAAAACGUAUCAAAAUAAGUGCAUAUGUAUCUGUCAAGAUCCGUUUUAUGCGUCUAUUCUAUUCUAGAGUUAUGUUACUCUGAUACCCAAUACAAUACAUGUAAGUUUUUUUGAAAUUAUAUCCAUUUAAACUGAAUUUUCCUAUGGAA